UACGUAGGGACCAAGCGUUGUUCGGAUUUACUGGGCGUAAAGGGCGCGUAGGCGGCAAUUCAAGUCAUCUGUGAAAUCUCCGGGCUUAACUCGGAACGGUCAGGUGAAACUGCUUUGCUAGAGUGCGGAAGGGGCAAUCGGAAUUCUCGGUGUAGCGGUGAAUGCGUAGAUAUCGAGAGGAACACCUGAGGUGAAGACGGGUUGCUGGGCCGACACUGACGCUGAAGCGCGAAAGCCAGGGGAGCAAACGGG
rnacentral:rRNA from 1 species